UACGUAUGGUGCAAGCGUUAUCCGGAUUUACUGGGUGUAAAGGGAGCGCAGGCGGCACGGCAAGCCUGAUGUGAAAGCCCGCGGCCCAACCGCGGGACUGCAUUGGGAACUACCGGGCUGGUGUGCCGGAGAGGUAGGCGGAAUUCCUAGUGUAGCGGUGAAAUGCGUAGAUAUUAGGAGGAACACCAGUGGCGAAGGCGGCCUACUGGACGGUGACUGACGCUGAGGCUCGAAAGCGUGGGGAGCAAACAGG
rnacentral:rRNA from 1 species